rnacentral:lncRNA from 1 species
ACAUUCAUCAAAGCCGAAAGAAAGAAGUAAGAAAUUCAGUCGCCAAUUUUUGGGAUUGAUUAUUUAAUACUACGUAAAGAGAUAACACAAAGAAAACUAGAUAGAUAUAAAUAUAUUUUUGGACUUGUUGAGGGAUCGAGUUAUUUUUCUGGCGUUGAGAGAAUUUUAAAGAGAUAAUGUAAAGUGAUAAAAUAAAGAAAAGGAGAUAUUUUGCACUUGCUGAAGGAUUAAAUUAUUUUUCUAGGCCUUGCUUUGGGCUUUAGCUAUGGGAGCAUUUCAGGUUUUUUCAGUUGCAGAUUUAUUUAG